rnacentral:lncRNA from 1 species
CUGAGCAUCCUGCGGCGAGCCACCGCGCUGCCCGCGCGCCGCGCCGAGUACUUCGACAGCUCGGAGCCCGUGCAGAACCGCCUCUACAAGUCCCUCAAGGUCUGGGCCAUGCUGGCCGACCUGGAGGAGAGCCUGGGGACCUUCCAGUCGACCCGAGCGGUGUACGAGCGCAUCCUGGACCUGCGCAUCGCCACCCCCCAGAUCGUCAUCAACUACGGGCUGUUCCUGGAGGAGCACGGCUACUUCGAGGAGAGCU